GGAUAACUGUGGUAAUUCUAGAGCUAAUACAUGAUUCCGUGCUCCGACCCCCGGCUUCGCGGUAGCUGCUGUAUAAACGUUUCGUCGUCUGUCGGCAGUCCGCAUCGUUCGGGAGAAGGGCGCUUUUAUUAGAUCUGAAAAUAAACCGGCCGGACUUCGGUCCGUCCAAACCCUUAAAAAUCUGGGUUGAUGAAUCCAAAUAACUUAGCCGAGCGCUACGGUCUUUUCGUACCGGCGCCGCAUCCUUCGAGCGUCUGCCUUAUCAGCUUUCGAUUGUAGGUUACACGCCUACAAUGGCUGUAACGGGUAACGGGGAAUCAGGGUUCGAUUCCGGAGAGGGAGCCUGAGAAACGGCUACCACAUCUAAGGAAGGCAGCAGGCACGCAAAUUACCCACUCCCGGCUCGGGGAGGUAGUGACGAAAAAUAACGAUGUGGGACUCUUCCGAGGCCCCAUAAUCGGAAUGAGUCCACCCUAAAUCCUUGGACGAGGAUCCAUUGGAGGGCAAGUCUGGUGCCAGCAGCCGCGGUAAUUCCAGCUCCAAUAGCGUAUAUAAAAGUUGCUGCGGUUAAAAAGCUCGUAGUUGGAUCUUGGAUCCGGACCGGCGGCCCACCUAAGGCGCGCCCUCUCCACUAGCGGGCCGUCGCGUUACGGCCGAAGCCCGCUUAUCCUUCGACCUUCGGAGGCGUCUCUCUUUAGCCAGCCCUCGUUUUUUUUUGUUUUUGUGUCCAACGUUCGUUCGUGCGUGUCGUUCUCACGUUCGAGUUCGGCGGACGGUUUCGAGGCGUUCUCGGGGGUGGAAAGCGUUCGCGUGCGUGUUGUGUUUUACACUUCGCGCUCGCUGCCUUACCUCAUUCCGGUUCGUCUACAGCCGUUUAUUCGUUCUCGCGCGGUUAACGGGCGAUUACCGCGACGUUCGGCGGACUGAGGGCGAUGAGGUGUUGUCGGAGGACGUAUUUUUCUGUAGAUGUCGUAUCGGAAGGCGGUUUCGCUUUCGCGCUCGUGUACGCACGCGCUCCGGAGAGUAAGUGCGUCCGGUCGGAUAACCCGCCCGGCACCGGAUUGCGAAAGCCGUCGGCUCUCAUGGGGUGCUCUUCACCGAGUGUCCCGCGUGGCCGACACGUUCACUUUGAAAAAAUUAGAGUGCUCAGAGCAGGCUGAAUCUUUACGCCCGAAUGGCGGUGCAUGGAAUGAUGGAACAGGACCUCGAUUCCGAUAUCUUUUUAUGUCGGUUUUUUCGGAACCGGAGGUAAUGACUAAAGGGAACGGACGGGGGCAUUCGUAUUGCGACGCUAGAGGUGAAAUUCUUGGACCGUCGCACGACGAACGACUGCGAAAGCAUUUGCCAAGAACGUUUUCGUUAAUCAAGAACGAAAGUUAGAGGAUCGAAGGCGAUCAGAUACCGCCCUAGUUCUAACCGUAAACUAUGCUGACCGGUUAUCCGCCGAAGUCAUUCCCACGACUCGGCGGGAAUCCUCCGGGAAACCAGAGUCUUUGGGUUCCGGGGGAAGUAUGGUUGCAAAGCUGAAACUUAAAGGAAUUGACGGAAGGGCACCACCAGGAGUGGAGCCUGCGGCUUAAUUUGACUCAACACGGGAAAACUCACCAGGCCCGGACACCGGAAGGAUUGACAGAUUGAGAGCUCUUUCUCGAUUCGGUGGGUGGUGGUGCAUGGCCGUUCUUAGUUGGUGGAGCGAUCUGUCUGGUUAAUUCCGAUAACGAACGAGACUCUUUCCUACUAACUAGUCGACGGAUCGUCUCCCGAGGCCACUAGGUUUCGGCGGUGGGAGAGCGCGUUCUUCCGUUCUCCCUUUCUUUUCGUUGCCGCUCGCGCUCUUGCGUUUUUAUCGCGCGAUCAUUCGAUCUCGAAAGGGUGAGAGUGUGUCGUCGUCGGUGGAACCUUCGUGAGUCGGUGGAUGGAGAGAGUAGCGGUAGUAGCGGUUUCGCGUUUCUUCCUCGUCUGUCCGUCGUCGUUCGGGGAGCGGGGUGAGGCGUCGUUCGCCGCGAUGUGAGAAGGGAUUGAGAGUUACGUAUAUAUAUAUAUAUAUAUAGUGUGUGUGCGGUCGGCGGGAGAGUUUGGUAGUUUUACGACUCUUUUCUUUUUCGUCAUCGUCUCGCCUGUGUGUGUGUGUGUGUGUGCGUGUCUUUCUUUUUCAUCAUUACUCGCGGAUCGACGGGCGGCGUUUCGUUUUGCCUCGUCUUUCACCGGCGCGGCGGGUCCUAGAGGCCAGUCGGGGCGUUCGUCGCAUUUUCUUCUUAGAGGGAUCGGCGGCGGCCAGCCGCACGAGAUUUUGAGCAAUAACAGGUCUGUGAUGCCCUUAGAUGUUCUGGGCCGCACGCGCGCUACAAUGGAGGAAUCAGCGCGUUCCCUACUCCGAAAGGAGCGGGUAACCCAUUGAAAUUCGUUCUCACUGGGGAUUGGGGCUUGCAAAUGUUUCCCAUGAACGAGGAAUUCCCAGUAAGCGCGAGUCACCACCUCGCGCUGAUUACGUCCCUGCCCUUUGUACACACCGCCCGUCGCUACUACCGAUUGAAUGAUUCAGUGAGGGCAUCGGACUGGCGCCCUCGGUACAGGCCGUAGGUUCGUGGUUGUUUAACGCGCGUCUCAUCACUUUCUCCUUCAUCUCUUCGGAGUGGAGGGAAAGCGAGCGUGCGGAGACCCGACCUUCGACACCCCGGGCUGACGGAAAGAUGUCCGAACUUGGUCAUUUAGA
rnacentral:rRNA from 1 species